rnacentral:lncRNA from 1 species
CACAGGGAUUUACGGUGAUGGCUAAUAGAACAUGAUGUCCAUAAGAAUGGGAAAGAUGGGAACUCAGUGACAAUAUUAUUAAUAUACAUACCCUAAGAAAUCAAGAACAGACAAGCAGAAAACAAGAAGCUGACCCAACAGGAAGUCUCCUGAUCUUGCCCAGUUUCCAGACCGAAGUCAUUUCUCAGUUACAGCAUCUACAGACAGAGAGUCCAGAGCCCCAUGAAGAAAGACUCUACCACAGUGUGUACGGUAAUUCUCCCUCCGACCUUCCUUAAAGGGACCUCCAGAAAUUACUCAGUGAGAAGGGGUGGGGAUUUUAAGCAAUUCCGAAGUUCACUGGGGGCACUCAGAUCCCACCCCUUAGGCUGCCAUAUGCUCACUGGAAGGAUCACAUUGAGGACCCUGAAGAGCCUGAAGAGGAAUUGCAUACCUUCUAUUAUUGCUGUUCGCUGUGGAUUGAAGUGCGUCUCUCCAAAAUCCAUAUGUUGAAGCACUAACCCCCGAUGUGACUGUAUUUGGAGAUCAGCCCUUUAAGAUGGUUUUGCCAUGUUGCCCAGGCUGGUCUCAAACUCCUGGCCCCAAGGGAUCCAUCCACCUUGUGUAAGACUGGAGCUGACAUCCAUCCAUCAGUCUUGUGGUCGUACUUCAAAGUCAUACUUCUUACCCUUCUCUAAUUUGAAGAAAGCUUGGGCUAAAGGUUGCACAUCUUCCACUGGCAACUUAUAAACCAUCAGAGAGGAGUACCUGAGAGAAAAGGAGAGGUUUUCCUUUUGAAUGACUAUCACUCAACAUAACUGACAAGUAACAGUGAACAUUUGGUACCAUUUCCAAAACAGCAACCAUGUUUAC